rnacentral:lncRNA from 1 species
AUAUUCUGUGUUACCUAAAGUAACGGGUUUUUGUUGGCUACUAUAUUAAACUAUGUCAUCGAGUGAUGUUAGGUACAUAGUAUUACCUGAUGGUUUCUGGAAUGAUGUAUUUGCAGGUCAGAUGCAGUUAAAGGGUACAUGUUGGAGGUAGACCUGGAAUAUCCUCAUGACUUACACGACUCACAUAACUCCUAUCCACUAUCACCUUCAAGCUAUAGCAAAAUCUGUAUCGAGAUCUAUAUGGUGAACACAGAAAACGACCAACCACCACCAAAUUGAUACCAACAUUAGAAAAUAAGAAAAAUUAUAUCACACAUUACCGUAAUUUACAACUGUAUACAAACUUGGGAAUGAAAAUUACUUAAGUCCAUAGAAUAUAGGAAUUUCACCAGUCUCUUUGGCUGGCUACUUAUAUUCAAUUCAACACAAGCAGAAGGCAG